CCGAGUUUACAACUCCCAAACCCACUGUGAACCAUACCUUCAACGUUGCUUCGGCGGGACGCCCCGGGACCUCGAGCCCCGGAACCAGGCGCCCGCCGGAGGCCCCAAACUCUCAUGUUUUCCAUAGCGGCAUUCCUCUGAGUGGCCCCCAGCGGGCAAGCAAAUGAAUCA
rnacentral:misc_RNA from 1 species